rnacentral:lncRNA from 1 species
CGGCCCCCCGGGACCAAAGGGAGAAAAGGGUUACCCAGGAGAAGACAGUAAAAUGGCAGGACCGCCCGGGCCCUUAGGUGAACCAGGCACUCCAGGAGAGAAGGGUGAACGUGGGGAACCGGGAGAUUACGGAUAUCAGGGUCAUGCAGGGGUCACAGGUGCCCGUGGAGCGAUCGGUCAGCAGGGAUCUCCUGGAUCUCCUGGGCUUCCUGGUGAAGCAGGACCCAUAGGCGAGAAGGGAGUUCAGGUUUGUGACUAGCACACCACUUACACUAUUUAUGCUGUGUGUAGUUCAUAUACUGUGUGCAGUUUGUGACUUUUUUUUCUGUCUGCAUGAAAUACCUGGGGCCAGACUUACAAAAAUCUUCUUAAGAUAGUUAAUAAAAUUUGUUAAGAUAAAUUCCACAAAGUUCAUAAGAUUGUUUUGAAGUGCAUCUUCCGAGUAAACGCCUCCGGUAUGUGUGACUACUGAAUGUGGGGCUAUCCUAACUUUAAUCUUUAAGAAGAUUCUUUUCAAGAAUUAGAAUUCUUCUUAAGUUUUGUCUUAAGAAAAAUCAAAAAAAAAAAAACUCAGAACAUUCUUAAGAAGAAUUUUGAUGUGCUAAAAUAACUAAAACUGAAACUGAAUGAAAAACGAAUAAAACGUAU